UUGACCUCAAAUCAGGUAGGACUACCCGCUGAACUUAAGCAUAUCAAUAAGCGGAGGAAAAGAAACUAACAAGGAUUCCCCUAGUAACUGCGAGUGAAGCGGGAAAAGCUCAAAUUUAAAAUCUGGCGGUCUCCGGCCGUCCGAGUUGUAAUCUAGAGAAGUGUUAUCCGCGCUGGACCGUGUACAAGUCUCCUGGAAUGGAGCGUCAUAGAGGGUGAGAAUCCCGUCUUUGACACGGACUGCCAGGGCUUUGUGAUGCGCUCUCAAAGAGUCGAGUUGUUUGGGAAUGCAGCUCAAAAUGGGGUGGUAAAUUCCAUCUAAAGCUAAA
rnacentral:rRNA from 1 species